AUUGAACGCUGGCGGAAUGCUUUACACAUGCAAGUCGAACGGCAGCACGGGGGCAACCCUGGUGGCGAGUGGCGAACGGGUGAGUAAUACAUCGGAACGUGCCCAGUCGUGGGGGAUAACGUAGCGAAAGCUACGCUAAUACCGCAUACGAUCUCUGGAUGAAAGCGGGGGACCGCAAGGCCUCGCGCGAUUGGAGCGGCCGAUGGCAGAUUAGGUAGUUGGUGGGGUAAAGGCUCACCAAGCCGACGAUCUGUAGCUGGUCUGAGAGGACGACCAGCCACACUGGGACUGAGACACGGCCCAGACUCCUACGGGAGGCAGCAGUGGGGAAUUUUGGACAAUGGGCGAAAGCCUGAUCCAGCCAUUCCGCGUGCAGGAUGAAGGCCCUCGGGUUGUAAACUGCUUUUGUACGGAACGAAAAAGCUCUUUCUAAUACAGAGAGUCCAUGACGGUACUGUAAGAAUAAGCACCGGCUAACUACGUG
rnacentral:rRNA from 1 species